AUUGAACGCUGGCGGCAUGCCUUACACAUGCAAGUCGAACGGCAGCGGGGGAGAAGCUUGCUUUUCCUGCCGGCGAGUGGCGAACGGGUGAGUAAUACAUCGGAACGUGCCCUGUAGUGGGGGAUAACUAGUCGAAAGAUUAGCUAAUACCGCAUACGACCUGAGGGUGAAAGUGGGGGACCGCAAGGCCUCAUGCUAUAGGAGCGGCCGAUGUCUGAUUAGCUAGUUGGUGGGGUAAAGGGCUACCAAGGCGACGAUCAGUAGCUGGUCUGGGCGGACGAUCAGCCCCACUGGGACUGGGACACGGCCCAGACUCCUACGGGAGGCAGCAGUGGGGAAUUUUGGACAAUGGGCGAAAGCCUGAUCCAGCAAUGCCGCGUGUGUGAAGAAGGCCUUCGGGUUGUAAAGCACUUUUGUCCGGAAAGAAAUGGCUCUGGUUAAUACCUGGGGUCGAUGACGGUACCGGAAGAAUAAGGACCGGCUAACUACGUGCCAGCCGCCGCCGUAA
rnacentral:rRNA from 1 species